AUGGCAAGCGAGGCAAACAUUUGGACACUUCUUGUAUCUGGAGGCUACUCCCAUUGGGUCUUCGGGGUGAAGAAGCACACCUCAAGAGUUGCUGUGUGGCAAGAAUCCAGCACUGCCCGCACCCUAAGCUUCUGGUAUUUCCUAUCUGCAAAAGCCACGGGGUCCAUUCAGUCCUCAUUAAGGCACCAGCGAGGGGCUCCCAGCGUGCACUGGGCUCGAGCGCGGUCCCCCGGACUGACGGCCAGCCGACCCUGCGGACAGACGGGCCACAAAGCAUGUCGCCCUGCGCCUGCUGAACCGCGAGCGCCCGAGGAUGUCAGCGCUGAGGAAGGUCUGUAUGAGCUGUUGGCUGUUGUGCCAGGCCGGCUGGGGCCACGUGUGGACAGCCAGGAAGACCUGACCUUCCUCUGGGAUAUGUUUGGUGAGAAAAGCCUGCAUUCACCGGUAAAGAAGUUACUCGUCGAGCACCAUUUUCCUUUAGAUCUUCACAAUAUCCUGGGUAGCCUUAUGUUGUGAGGUGGAAGUCUCUACUCUUCUGUGGGUCAGAAAACCUAAUUUGC